CCCAGCCACCCUCAGCAUGACAGCUGACUUGUUUAAAAAAAUAAUCUAGAACAGCUGCUGGGAAAAUUAAUGUUUCAUAUUCAUACUUAAACUGACAGUCCUGAACGAUUUUAAUCACUGCUGAUUUUACUCUUAAACAACUUUACAAUGUUCAACAAUUCCAACAGAAUUUAUCUUGGCGCUUUUCCAAUGAUUCCAAUAUGCAUUCUUAUUGAAGCCGAACGCCUGUAAUAAUCUUAUUUCAACAUCGUAUAAGAAUAAUGCCAAUGUUUACAAACAAAGACCCAGGUAAAUGUCAUCUCAUGUCGACCCAGAUGGUCGACAUCCCCGCGUGCACAGGCUAAUUCACCCAUUUUUUGAUCAAGUACUGAAUUGUCAAAAAAUGGGUAUUUUUUAAAUAACACAUCAAGAGUACAAUUACCCCAUUUUAAAAUAACUUGCCUAGUAAAAAUAAUGGGUAAAUAGAACUCCUCGGUGUUUAUUGAAACGCGGCCAUCUUUUUUUCUUAAUAGUUUGUUUGUGAUUUGUGCCUGUCGAAGAAAAAUCAAAUUGAAAAAUGUACAAAAAGUGCCACAGUUGCAGAUAUUUCAUGUUGUGCACCGGUUCUUGCAUCAACAUGGAAUGGUGCUGCUUUAGAUCCACCCGAGGUUUUACUGAAAAAUACGUGUUUGGGAACGAUGAACCAUUCGCCGUCGGAUUUGAAUGAUUCCGGAUUCUCGUUCCUGGAUGAAGUAGCUGCAGGUCCUCAGCAGUAGCUAUAAAAAAGCAUUUAGUGACAAGGAAAAACAAAAACAUCGACAUGUCAUUCUACAUAUAAUAAAUAUAAAAUAUGUUGUUUAUCUC